rnacentral:tRNA from 1 species
AGAAACUUAGGUUAACAUAAACCAAGGGCCUUCAAAGCCCUAAAUAAGAGAUACAACUCCUAGUUUCUG